rnacentral:rRNA from 1 species
AUUGAACGCUGGCGGCAGGCCUAACCCAUGCAAGUCGAGCGAGCGGCGGACGGGUGAGUCAUGUCUGGGAAACUGCCUGAUGGAGGGGGAUCACUACUGGAAACGGUAGCUAAUACCGCAUACCAUCAGAUGUUCCCAGAUGGGAUUAGCUAGUAGGUGGGGUAACGGUUCACGUAGGCGACGAUCCCUAGCUGGUCUGAGAGGAUGACCCGCCACACUGGAACUGAGACACGGUCCAGCCUCCUACGGGAGGCAGCAGUGGGGAAUAUUGCACAAUGGGCGCAAGCCUGAUGCAGCCAUGCCGCGUGUGUGAAGAAGGCCUUCGGGUUGUAAAGCACUUUCAGCGGGGAGGCGUUACCCGCAGAAGAAGCACCGGCUAACUCCGUGAAAGCAGCCGCGGUAAUAC